UCAGGACGAACGCUGGCGGCGUGCUUAACACAUGCAAGUCGAGCGGUAAGGCCUUUCGGGGUACACGAGCGGCGAACGGGUGAGUAACACGUGGGUGACCUGCCCUUCACUCUGGGAUAAGCCUUGGAAACGGGGUCUAAUACCGGAUAUGACCUCCUGCUGCAUGGUGGGGGGUGGAAAGCGUUUAGUGGUGAGGGAUGGACCCGCGGCCUAUCAGCUUGUUGGUGGGGUAAUGGCCUACCAAGGCGACGACGGGUAGCCGGCCUGAGAGGGCGACCGGCCACACUGGGACUGAGACACGGCCCAGACUCCUACGGGAGGCAGCAGUGGGGAAUAUUGCACAAUGGGCGGAAGCCUGAUGCAGCGACGCCGCGUGAGGGAUGACGGCCUUCGGGUUGUAAACCUCUUUCACCCAUGACGGAAGCGAGAGUGACGGU
rnacentral:rRNA from 1 species